UGCGAGGUUAGUAAACAUCAGGGAGUACUUGUAAUGUAAAAUUAAAACAGGGGUGCGAGAUAAAGAAAAAAAGGGGUGCACUGAGAUAAAAAAUGGGUGUAUGUAAAUAUUAAAGAUGGGGACGCGCGGAGUAAAGAUGGGUCAACCAACCCAAACCCAACCUCUUAUUUUUUUAAAAGAAUCAGAAACCCUAAAGGGUUUAUUUCUCUUCCUCUCACAUGCGGCUCCUCCCUUGCAAAGUCCGCAGCCGUCGCACCACCACGCCACCACGCCACCAUCAGCAGGCUUGCCGGCGACGCCAAUCGUCGUUGACGACAAGAGCCCAGACUCGAACUACAUUCGCGCGAGCACCCAGGGUCGCUGCCAUCGCCAGCAACAGUCAGAGCUAGAGUCAUCGUUGGCGGCCACUUCCUUGGCACAAUUUCUCUCUUCCUCGCGUGGAGCCAACGCUGGAAUCAAGGUUGCCGCACAUUUCUGUUCAAUCGUUUAGCUCGCCGCCGACAAUUUUUUUCUUUCCUCUCUGUUUCCGAUUACACUGAAUGGAAGGGGAUUAGGUUUUAGGAGAUGCGGGUGUUUGGUAUUGGAAUGGGGGUUCCGUUCGGUGGUUUAGUUGGAAGAAGAUUGGAGAAGGUGAAUGUAGGUAUGCAGGUGAGUAAUGAAGACGAGAAUGAAAGUGGUUCAGGUUCAAUGCAGGAAGACGAGAAAUGGGGAUUGCGUGGCAUUGAUGAUGGUUUCAUGCGUGUUGGAUGAAGAUGAUGAUAUUGAUUCAAAUGAGUUUGAGAAUGAAAAAUUGUGACGAAAGAAUUGGCGAGGAGGUGUAGGUUAUGAAUGGAUGAUGAUGUGCGAGAGUGUAUAAAUUCAAAUAAAUUCAACGCAUACGUUCAGAAGCAUCAUUGUUAGACAAAGCCAACAGAAGUUAAGCAGCUAAAGGUGGAUCGUGGGAGCUUUUGGAAGGCAUUUUAUCAUGUUUUCUUUCUUUUCCCUUACAAGUAUUAGUGUAAUAAUGUUGAUGCAGGUGAGCAUACAGAUGCAUAGAGAGAUGGAAUGGGGAUCACUAUGGGACAAUUUUCUUAAAUUUCAUCAUGGAUUUUCCUUUUGUAAUUUUUUUAUUUAUUACCGAGGAUUUGGUUUUGUAAUAAAUGAAUAUUGCAAUUUUAUUUUUUUCACAUAUGCGACAUUUGAAGACUUAAUUUUCCCACAUUUUUGGGAAAU